rnacentral:sRNA from 1 species
UAUUAGCACGGGCGAUGCCAGCCCCAUA